UGCAGUCGAGCGAAUGGAUUGAGAGCUUGCUCUCAUGAAGUUAGCGGCGGACGGGUGAGUAACACGUGGGUAACCUGCCCAUAAGACUGGGAUAACUCCGGGAAACCGGGGCUAAUACCGGAUAACAUUUUGAACUGCAUGGUUCGAAAUUGAAAGGCGGCUUCGGCUGUCACUUAUGGAUGGACCCGCGUCGCAUUAGCUAGUUGGUGAGGUAACGGCUCACCAAGGCAACGAUGCGUAGCCGACCUGAGAGGGUGAUCGGCCACACUGGGACUGAGACACGGCCCAGACUCCUACGGGAGGCAGCAGUAGGGAAUCUUCCGCAAUGGACGAAAGUCUGACGGAGCAACGCCGCGUGAGUGAUGAAGGCUUUCGGGUCGUAAAACUCUGUUGUUAGGGAAGAACAAGUGCUAGUUGAAUAAGCUGGCACCUUGACGGUACCUAACCAGAAAGCCACGGCUAACUACGUGCCAGCAGCCGCGGUAAUACGUAGGUGGCAAGCGUUAUCCGGAAUUAUUGGGCGUAAAGCGCGCGCAGGUGGUUUCUUAAGUCUGAUGUGAAAGCCCACGGCUCAACCGUGGAGGGUCAUUGGAAA
rnacentral:rRNA from 1 species